AGAGUUUGAUCCUGGCUCAGAAUGAACGUUGGCGGCGUGGAUUAGGCAUGCAAGUCGAGCGAGAAGCUUCCCUUCGGGGAAGUGGACAGCGGCGUAAGGGAGAGUAACGUGUGGAUAUCUACCCCGGGGUUCGGGAUAGCUGUGGGAAACUGCGGGUAAUACCGAAUAACAUCUUCGGAUCAAAGGUGUGAUUCCGCCCUGGGAUGAGUCCGCAUCCUAUUAGCUUGUUGGUGGGGUAAAGGCCUACCAAGGCUUCGAUGGGUACCGGGUGUGAGAGCAUGGCCCGGCUCACUGGGACUGAGACACUGCCCAGACACCUACGGGUGGCUGCAGUCGAGAAUCUUCGGCAAUGAGCGCAAGCUUGACCGAGCGACGCCGCGUGAGGGAUGAAGGCCUUCGGGUUGUAAACCGCUGUCAGAGGGGAUGAAAUGCUGGUUGGCUAUCCUUCCAGUUUGACAAAUCCUCAGAGGAAGUACGGGCUAAGUUCGUGCCAGCAGCCGCGGUAAUACGAACCGUACGAACGUUAUUCGGAAUCACUGGGCUUAAA
rnacentral:rRNA from 1 species